UACGAAGGGGGCUAGCGUUGUUCGGAAUUACUGGGCGUAAAGCGCACGUAGGCGGACUAUUAAGUCAGGGGUGAAAUCCCGGGGCUCAACCCCGGAACUGCCUUUGAUACUGGUAGUCUCGAGUCCGGAAGAGGAGAGUGGAAUUCCUGGUGUAGCGGUGAAAUGCGCAGAUAUCAGGAAGAACACCAAUGGCGAAGGCAGCUCUCUGGGACGGUACUGACGCUGAGACGCGAAAGCGUGGGGAGCGAACAGG
rnacentral:rRNA from 1 species